UGAUGGGUGUCUUACCAGACACAGUUAGAUCUGGAUGCUUCUGUCUAAUACUGUCUGGUAAUGCCGUCCAUCUACGGC
rnacentral:pre_miRNA from 1 species